rnacentral:rRNA from 1 species
AUUGAACGCUGGAGGUAUGCUUAACACAUGCAAGUCGAACGUGAAAGCCUUAGGGUGAGUAGAGUGGCGGACGGGUGAGUAACGCGUAGGAAUCUACCUAUUAGUGGGGGACAACCUGGUGAAAACCAGGCUAAUACCGCAUGUGCACUACGGUGUAAAGAGGGCCUCUCUUGAAGCUCUUGCUAGUAGAUGAGCCUGCGUCGGAUUAGCUAGUUGGUGGGGUAAUGGCCUACCAAGGCGACGAUCCGUAGCUGGUCUGAGAGGAUGAUCAGCCACACUGGAACUGAGACACGGUCCAG